AGAACGAACGCUGGCGGCGUGCCUAACACAUGCAAGUCGAGCGCGAAUGGAGCAAUCCUAGUAGAGCGGCGCACGGGUGCGUAACACGUGGGUAAUCUGCCCGAAAGACUGGAAUAACCUGCCGAAAGGCUGGCUAAUACCGGAUAAGCCUACGGGGUCCUCGGGCCUUGUAGGAAAGGUGGCCUCUGUAUACAAGCUAUCACUUUUGGAUGAGCCCGCGGCCCAUCAGUUAGUUGGCGGGGUAACGGCCCACAAGACUACGACGGGUAGCUGGUCUGAGAGGACGAUCAGCCACACUGGAACUGAGACACGGGUCCAGACUCCUACGGAGGCAAGCAGUGGGGAAUUUUGCGCAAUGGGCGAAAGCCUGACGCAGCAACGCGCGUGUGUGAUGAAGUUUUUCGGAUCGUAAAGCUACGUUCGACCGGACGAACACCCCCUGAGUAAUAUCUCGAGGCUGACGGUACCGGAGAAGAAGCGACCGCUAACUCUGUCGCAGCAGACCG
rnacentral:rRNA from 1 species